CACGGGUGCGUAACGCGUAUCAACCUACCUUUAACUGAGGAAUAGCUCCGAGAAAUCGGGAUUAAUCCCUCAUAAUAUUUUUGAAAGGCAUCUUUUAAAAAUUAAAGUUUCGACGGUUAUUGAUGGGCAUGCGUGGCAUUAGUUUGUUGGUGAGGUAACGGCUCACCAAGACAUCGAUGCCUAGGGGGCCUGAGAGGGUGAUCCCCCACACUGGUACUGAGACACGGACCAGACUCCUACGGGAGGCAGCAGUAAGGAAUAUUGGGCAAUGGACGAAAGUCUGACCCAGCCAUGCCGCGUGCAGGAUGACGGCCCUAGUGGUUGUAAACUGCUUUUAUACGGGAAGAAAAGUUCCAACGUGUUGGAAUGUGACUGUACCGUAUGAAUAAGCAUCGGCUAACUCCGUGCCAGCAGCCGCGGUAAUACGGAGGAUGCAAGCGUUAUCCGGAUUCAUUGGGUUUAAAGGGUGCGUAGGCGGAUUGGUAAGUCAGUGGUGAAAUCCUCUCGCUUAACGGGAGAAUUGCCGUUGAUACUAUCAAUCUUGAGUACACUUGAAGUGGGCGGAAUGUGUCAUGUAGCGGUGAAAUGCAUAGAUAUGACACAGAACACCGAUUGCGAAGGCAGCUCACUAAAUUGUAACUGACGCUGAGGCACGAAAGCGUGGGGAGCAAACCAGGAUUAGAUACCCUGGUAGUCCACGCUGUAAACGAUGAUCACUAGCUGUUGGCGAUACACUGUCAGCGGCUGAGCGAAAGUAUUAAGUGAUCCACCUGGGGAGUACGAUCGCAAGGUUGAAGCUCAAAGGAAUUGACGGGGGCCCGCACAAGCGGAGGAGCAUGUGGUNUAAUUCGAUGAUACGCGAGGAACCUCACCUAGGCUUAAAAGCUUUUUGACCGUCCUGGAAACAGGAUUUCCAUUCGGGGCAAAUUGCAAGGUGCUGCAUGGUUGUCGUCAGCUCGUGCCGUGAGGUGUCGGGUUAAGUCCCAUAACGAGCGCAACCCAUAUUCUUAGUUGCCAUCAGGUAAUGCU
rnacentral:rRNA from 1 species